rnacentral:lncRNA from 1 species
UCUACGAUCAUGUUUCUUCAUUUUAUCCAUGUAGAAAGUAUUUAAAAUAUAAUAAAUUGGAUGAAAUGUAAACUAUAUCACCAUUUUGUUACAUGAUUUUUAUGGCAAAUUAGGAAAUCUCUGCAGAUGUAAAACCCAGAGCCACGUAAACACAUUCUUCAUAACCCUGAGGAAUAAGGCCUAAUAGUCAACCUAAGAAAGUUUAUUAUCAGUUCCAGGGAUUGAUAAAUGAUCAAUAAUGUAUCUGAAAUUUGUUUUUCUUCAGGUUCAAUAAGGAUGGAAAAGAGUACUGAUAGCAAUUUGGAAGCAAAUCUAAGGAGUGCAUACUUUUCAUUAAAAGGUUAUUUCGUGCUUCCUCUCUUCCACACGAUCAAGAUCUUCAAAGUAAGCAUCUUUCAAAGGAACGACAAGCAAAAUACAGCUGCAGGAUCAGUAACUCCCUGUUAAGCAGCUUUGCCUGCUGUCACUAUUGACUGCUGGAGGUGGUGAUCCGUGUCAGUCACUAAAACGACACCUUGGCAAGACUGCAAUCUGCUCCCAGGGUUUUUGUGUAUGGGAACACUUAGAUAAUGAGAUUUUCAUAUAUUCCCAGCAGCUCACACGGUGCCUGGAAAAGAGUAGGUACCUGGGCAAUAUUUACAAAGAUUAACUAUGAAACCAUAUUUUGAAGGCUUUGCUAACAUGUCAUAGGCAGAUUUGUUGCAGAAUGAAGCAAUGCAAGAAUUUCCUCUUCCAUCUUGGAUAAAUUUUAUUAAUACUAGAAUAAAUAACUCUCCAAGCAGGCGGAGACUUUUAGU